UUAUGAUCAAUUUAAUCUAUUCUGAAUAAAUUGAAAUCUUUGUCAAUGAAAUUCGCAACACCGUCGAUGAUGUCGUCGACGAAGCUUUCAAUUUCUUCCACUAAUAAAGAAGCAUCAACCAAGUUGAACUCUAAAGGCUCCAUACAAAGGUCUGAAGUCUGAAGAUCUGAAAAAGAGGGUUUAUGACAAAAAAUAGAAGAAGUGUCCAGUAAUAAAAUAGACCUGAUAUUGAAGCUGUUAUUUUGUGGUAAUGAAAAAGAA